rnacentral:lncRNA from 1 species
CUGAAGUUGCUGAGUGUACUGUUGAAUAAGAAGGUCUGCAUACUGCUCGGGGGUGUAUUGACGACCGGUUGAAUAAUAGAGGGGCUGGAAGUAGUUGUUGAGGUAGUCGUUGCUGCCUAAUCCGAUUGAGUAUAUGCAUCGGCUCAGGUAAUUUGCAGCUUGAUCUUCAUUUCCUAGUAAGUUCACUACUUGCUGAACCGUGUUUUGGUAAUUCUUUACCUGCCCACUAAAACUGAUUCGAUCUCCCUGAAAUUUAAUAAUGCAUGUGCAUGUAUGUAUAACAUUAGUUAAUUCAGGAUUCACUUCAUCAGUUGAUGCAUGUCACAUGUUAUUACUAAAACCUGUAUGUACAAAUAUAAAUAUAAUGAAAUGUGCACAUGAUGAUACAAAUAUUUCUAAUUUGAUUAAUUAAUUAAAUUAAAGUUACCAUAGCGUGCGGGAUUGGCUGUAAUAUCUUGGAAAAUCCCAUAAGCAUUGAUGUAGAUAAACUUGGCAUCAGAAUUGUUGUUGUUGAAUUGAUCCACGAGGCCUCUGAGCUUGUUAUUGAAUAUUACGUUUGCGUCAUUCACUCUCUUCACACAAGUUCUCCCAUCUGGACUGUUUUGAGCCAAUUGAUUUGGGCUGCACCCUAUCUGUCCCACUCCAAUCAACACAAAUUUCCUUGCCCCAUAGUUGUAAAACGCCUAUAUUAUACACAUAUUCAUUCACGAUUCAUCAGUACUUAAUUAUUUGAGAAUUCAUAAUGGAAAAAAAAGGGGUCUGAGCGACUCAGGUACCUGAAGUUGCUGAGUGUACUGUUGAAUAAGAAGGUCUGCAUACUGCUCGGGGGUGUAUUGACGACCGGUUGAAUAAUAGAGGGGCUGGAAGUAGUUGUUGAGGUAGUCGUUGCUGCCUAAUCCGAUUGAGUAUAUGCAUCGGCUCAGGUAAUUUGCAGCUUGAUCUUCAUUUCCUAGUAAGUUCACUACUUGCUGAACCGUGUUUUGGUAAUUCUUUACCUGCCCACUAAAACUGAUUCGAUCUCCCUGAAAUUUAAUAAUGCAUGUGCAUGUAUGUAUAACAUUAGUUAAUUCAGGAUUCACUUCAUCAGUUGAUGCAUGUCACAUGUUAUUAUUAAUUAUUUGUUGAUAUGAAAUGGACAUUAUUAAAGUUCAUAUAUGCAUGCAUGCAUUAAAUAAAUAAAUUAACUAAUUAAUGGGAUUGAUUAUUUUC